rnacentral:tRNA from 1 species
GCAGUGGUGAUUCAGUGGUAGAAUUUUCGUCUUCCGUGAGGGAUACCUGGGUUCGAUUCCCGGCCAAUGCA